CACAUCCUUCCCUCCCCUUUUCUUCCUCUCUGUUUUAUUUUUUUCUUAUUAUUUAUUUACUUAUUUUUGGUACCAGGGAUUGAAUUCAGAGGUGCUUAACCACUGAGCCACAUCACCAGCCCUUUAUUGCUUUUUUAUUUUUUGAAACAGCAUCUGGCUAAGUUAUGAAGGGCCUCAUUAAGUUGUUGAGGCUGGGUUUGAAGUCACAGUCCUCCUGCCUCAGCCUCCACAGUUGCUGGGAUUACACGACAUGCACCACCAUGCCCAUCUCUUUUUCUAAAACCCUUUUCCAAUUAUCCUGGAUUACCUGCCAGGCUCAGUGUAGUUACAGGAGUUCUUGUGGGUAGUCAAGAGGGUCAGAGAAGAAGGGGGGGGUAGUCCCAGUGCACACUGGGCGUGGUGGUGCAUGCCUGAUUUGUAAUCACAGAUACUGGACUUGAGAGGCUGAGGCAGGAGGAUCACAAGUUCUAGGCCAGCCUCAGCAAUUUAGGAAAACACGGACCUUGGCUGUAACCCAGCGGCAGAGUGCUUGCCUUGAUUGAGUGAGGCAACUCAGUCCCCACUGCCAAAAAAAAAAAGAAUGUCCACACAGAAACUGCCAACCAUGUAGGGGGCAGGCAGCAGGGCCUGGCAUAGAUCAUAGAUCAUCACCUUUACUCAUUAACUCAUUUGUUUGCCAGAAUUCUUGGAAUGCAAAUUCAGUGCCAAAAAAGAACACUGCGUAAUGCUUGAGGGCUUUGGGUCCAGCCUGCCUGGGUUCUAAUGGGCUCUGUCUCUUACUAGCUGUGGGGCCUUGAGGGCAAGAGCCUCAGCUUCCCUUAUUCACUUUAUCUGCAAAAUGGGGUCAGCGAUGCGUUGUUGUGGGUCUGGGGUUGUGGCUUAGUGGCAGAGAGCUUGCCUAGCA
rnacentral:lncRNA from 1 species